GAAGUAGUUCAGUGGGUAGAAUACAACCUUGCCAAGGGUUGGGGUCGCGGGUGUCGAAUCCCGUCUUCCGCUUCCA
rnacentral:tRNA from 1 species